CUGGUGCUUGACCGCCGAUACUGGCGCAUUGUGGAUGCCUGCAGGGCGAGGCAGUUUGGCUGGGACCUAGGCUCUUCGCCACGUGUGCUCUGCUUUUCUACUUUGGCCGCCCUGAUGGCUUUUUCACUCUUUCCGCCUUGUCUCUUUCUGCCUAAGGCAGUCCUGAGCUGACUGUCUCCGUGAGGAGCAAAGCGGUGUUGUGGGGGAGUAAUCUUCCAGCAAAAGGGUGAAAUGGAGACAGAGCAGAAUCUCCCAGGCUUCACGUCCCUGAUGGCUUUUGGCUCAGCCUGUGUGACUGCCCACCUGUGUCUUCCUCUGCUUUCACAAUGCUGCUGGAGGCUUCCCAUGUGUGAAGUGAACGCAACCGGCGAGAUCUAUCCCAGCAGCAGACGUUGAUGUUUGAGGCAAACUUUUGAGGAAGGAGGAAAGAGUUUUACUGAUGCUGGGACAACUGAUCGGGAGUAAGAUAAACUUGCAGCCUCCGUGCCACCCCGCAGCAAGGAGUCCUGCAGUUUAGCCACACGUUCAAAGUCUGUGACCCGCGAGAGUGUUCCGCAGCUGGAAGGAGGAGAUGAGGUGCAGCCGGGGACUGUGGCACAGGAGAGCGUGGUAGCUGCUCUGCAGCACGUGGUGAUGCUGCCCUGAAAUCCAGGCCCUGCCAGGAAGCCGAGGAGCACAGCGGUCAAGAAAAGAAACACCA